GCAGUCGAACGCUUUGUGCUUAAUUGAUAUGACGAGCUUGCUCUGAUUUGAUUUUUUGAUUUCAAAGAGUGGCGAACGGGUGAGUAACACGUGGGUAACCUACCUCUUAGCAGGGGAUAACAUUUGGAAACAAGUGCUAAUACCGUAUAAUACCAACAACCGCAUGGUUGUUGGUUGAAAGAUGGUUCUGCUAUCACUAAGAGAUGGACCCGCGGUGCAUUAGCUAGUUGGUAAGGUAAUGGCUUACCAAGGCAAUGAUGCAUAGCCGAGUUGAGAGACUGAUCGGCCACAAUGGGACUGAGACACGGCCCAUACUCCUACGGGAGGCAGCAGUAGGGAAUCUUCCACAAUGGGCGCAAGCCUGAUGGAGCAACGCCGCGUGUGUGAUGAAGGGUUUCGGCUCGUAAAACACUGUUAUAAGAGAAGAACGGCACUGAGAGUAACUGUUCAGUGUGUGACGGUAUCUUACCAGAAAGGAACGGCUAAAUACGUGCCAGCAGCCGCGGUAAUACGUAUGUUCCAAGCGUUAUCCGGAUUUAUUGGGCGUAAAGCGAGCGCAGACGGUUAUUUAAGUCUGAAGUGAAAGCCCUCAGCUCAACUGAGGAAUUGCUUUGGAAACUGGAUGACUUGAGUGCAGUAGAGGAAAGUGGAACUCCAUGUGUAGCGGUGAAAUGCGUAGAUAUAUGGAAGAACACCAGUGGCGAAGCGGCUUUCUGGACUGUAACUGAC
rnacentral:rRNA from 1 species